rnacentral:rRNA from 1 species
UACAGAGGCCCCAAGCGUUACUGAGAGUCACUGGGUUUAAAGCGUGCGCAGGCGGUUCUGAAAGUCAGCUGUGAAAGCCCCGGGCUUAACCUGGGAAUUGCGGUUGAAACUACAGGGCUAGAAUCUGGCAGAGGGGGGUGGAAUUCCACGUGUAGCAGUGAAAUGCGUAGAGAUGUGGAGGAACACCGAUGGCGAAGGCAGCCCCCUGGGCUGAGAUUGACGCUCAGGCACGAAAGCGUGGGGAGCAAACAGG